ensembl:lncRNA
GUCCCGACGUUAUCGGAGAUGUGAAGUGGCCUCUGUGAACUCCAAAUGACGGAAAUCCGUCGUAGCGACGGAGAACUUUAAUCCAUGUCUUGAUGGGAAGCAAAAUUACAACCCAAAACAUACUAAUAAGCAUGAACAAACAAGUCUCACACCAAAAUGUAGCAUAACUAAGUUGGUCCACACGGGGGAAAUCAACGUUUUUUCACCUAGAGACUCCAUUCCAAUGUUCAGAUUAGCUUGGAAUCGCACUUCCUUUCAGAAGGCGAAGCCGUCCGCCCAUUCUCCAACACUUCAACUACUUCAGACUUCGUAACUUGAACAGACACAACGCAGCGAUAUCAGUAGUGAGGAGUUCUAACUGGAAAGACGGUGAAAUCCGCAAGUUGCUGAUAAUGUCAGAGAGAAGGUGACGCAGCCGCUUGAAACGAAGAUGGGGAAAGAUGGCGCGAUCUACGAAAGACGCAGAGGAACAUUUCUUUCGAGGCUUUUGUUGGGUUAAAAAACAAGUGGUCAUUCAUCCUCUUCCGGUUCCGCAACCUCAGGGUGUCAGAGGGUACGGUGGGGGCUCGACCCGGAGGUGGCAACACUGUGGUGCUGGAAGGCCCAGCUGAGGGAGCCCCGUCUGAUAACGCUGGUGAGGGAGCACCGUUGGACUGCCUCAGUGCACCGGGUAUGCCUGUCACCACUCCAGCACAAUCGCUCUUCACACCGGGUGGCUCCACGUCAUUGUCUCCCCCAAGCAGCUCGUCCAUCUCCCUGUAGAAUUGGAAGCGGAAAGGCCUCUUUUCUUUCAACACGUUCUUCUGCUUGACUUUCUCAUAUCUCUCCACCAGCGUCAACCACUUGCGCGCCACCUUGUCGGUCUGGAAGUCCUCCUUGAACUGUCCGGCAAGCUUCCCAGUCAUCUCCUCCCACAGCAGCUUCUUUGGCUUCUUGCCCAGCCUCAGCCGCCUGUUGAGGUCAUCGAGGGACUUAACAGGUAUCCCGCCCUCUACCUCAAGGUGGACCUUCAUCAGGUGGAUGAGGAAGUGUGUCUGAGCUUUGGUAAAACCCUCAUUCACCGGCAGUGGUGCAGUUGGCUUGAUAUUGCAGGUAUCUGAAUCAUAAAAAGGAAACAUGUCAGCACAGUACUUGCAGCUCCCAGGGAUAAAUGACUGUUGAAGUACGCUCAUGUCAACAGUGUAAUGCU